CCACUCAAGGCCUGGCUCUAAUUCUUGUCUUUGGGAAAUCUUCCUGCCCCAACUAGAGGGAUAUUUGCUUUUGGAACUCCAGAGCACCUCCCCUUGCUCAUGCAAUGUGGCACCCCAUUUGGCAUUACCUUAGAGUCAUAUAUGGACAUGUCGUCUUUCUUCUGUGGUGUUACCAACUAUACAACUUGAAACUCAGACUGUUACUGCUCAUCAAAAAUUCUACGUGCGUGUUUUUCCCAGCCUCUCCUACAGUUAGAUGGAGGACAACCUCGGAGACUACACGGUGUGGCGCAGCUGCAAGGUGGAGUAGGGUUGUCUGACACACAUGGGGUGCGACAUGAGACAUAAAUUUGGACUGUGAUACCAACCGGAAGUGAUGACUGCCUAAAUUUCCUACAUGGAAGUAUAUGUGAGAUAGCACAUUCCAUUGACUUCGAGAGAGGGAGAGAGAGAGAGGAAAGGAAGGAAGAUGACGCUGCAGAAUAGGUGAGACUCUGUGAUAACUGCCGUGUGAUGCUUCCUCCUGAUCUUAAGGAACCAGAACUAUGGAACUCAUUCUACGUAGCCCUUCUUUUCAUUGUUGUUGUUGCUGUUUGCUAUUGGAAGGUACUAGAUUCAAGUGCACAGCAUCUGAGACAUUUCCAGUGGAAAGGGCAGAGGGCCUCCUGUCCCAGGGCCGCUGGUGGUCAUUCCAAGCGCCCAGCGGCUAUGAAA